rnacentral:rRNA from 1 species
GCACAAGCGGUGGAGCAUGUGGUUAAUUCGAAGCAACGCGAAGAACCUUACGGGUCUUGACAUCCCGAUGCUAUUUCUAGAGAUAGAAAGUUACUUCGGUAUAUCGGUGACAGGUGGUGCAUGGUUGUCGUCAGCUCGUGUCGUGAGAUGUUGGGUUAAGUCCCGCAACGAGCGCAACCCCUAUUGUUAGUUGCCAUCAUUCAGUUGGGCACUCUAGCGAGACUGCCGGUAAUAAACCGGAGGAAGGUGGGGAUGACGUCAAAUCAUCAUGCCCCUUAUGACCUGGGCUACACACGUGCUACAAUGGUUGGUACAACGAGUUGCGAGUCGGUGACGGCGAGCUAAUCUCUUAAAGCCAAUCUCAGUUCGGAUUGUAGGCUGCAACUCGCCUACAUGAAGUCGGAAUCGCUAGUAAUCGCGGAUCAGCACGCCGCGGUGAAUACGUUCCCGGGCCUU